rnacentral:lncRNA from 1 species
UGUUAAAGAUUAAUCAAAAAAUGCAUCUUUAAGAAUCUUAUUACACGGAAUCGCCUAACUAAUAUAUUUUUGUUACCUUGUAAAAGAUGGUGAUAAUAAUACGUUGAAUAUUAAUCAAUAUAUACCAUAGCUUCUUUAUAUAACAGCAUUUUUAUAACAAUUUUGAUUUAUAAUAAUUUUAUAAAAGAUCAAAGUGCGCAUGCGCAAGUUUGAUAUAAUAGUUGUGGAACGCUUCCGUUCGCGGCGCUGUAAUCGGUUUGUUUUGGUGUUUAAUUUAUUGAAAAAAAAAGUUAAUAUUUUUCGCGAAUUAACUUAAUUGGCAAUUUUUGGUACCUUAUUAUUACUAGUAAGUACUCAUAUUCAACCUUUUGUAACAUUUAUCAACCCACUUCGCAAUUAAUUAUUAUAGGUUAUUUAACAUUAAUUUUAGGUUAUUUGAUAUCAGUUAAUUCUUUAUUGAAUUCUGAUACAACUAUCUUGUUGAUAUGAAGAAGUGAUUGAAACAUACAUUUACAUGAUGAUGGAGUAAAGAAGGUUUUUAUUAAAGAGUUAUUAUUUAGAGGUCAAUCAAACCCGUGCCGUGUAAAGCCGCAGGACAGUCAUGGCAAAAGCGACGAAGAGGACAACGGCUGGCUGCAGGUACCGGGUGUUAGGGACCUGUGACCUUGGCCGGGGGUCCUUUACACUGCGCAGUCGCAUAUUUCCACGGCCAGUGACACCCGCCGCCGCCGACCGGCUUCUGCUCUGCGCCUUUUCGUCUCCACCUCCCUCUUUCUCUCUAGCUAGCUAGAACCCCUUUUCAAUGAUCAGGUUUGAUCUAUAAUAAAAAAAGAACUAGAGAAGGAAAAUAAACUCGUUCUAAACAGUUUCAUAAAAAAAUAUGUUUUACUUGUUAUAGGUUACCCCAAUGACUCAUUUCUUCAUUUUCCCAUGAGAUAUAUAUACUUUUUUAUGAGUAAUGUUUGCAACACAUACUUAUUACAUACUUUGGUUAUAAGUGAAUGGCGAGUAAGUGCCGGAUAAAACGGCUGCAGAGAAAUACUUUCGUUUUCUAUUGACAGUUACGUUACUACGUUACGAACGUUGUUGGUUACUAUGGUUACAUCGAGGCAAAAGUAUGUAGGUAAAACCGUAAGCAUACUUUCUCGAUUUUCACCAUUUUAACAUGAGCACAUUAGGUUAAGGCUGUCUCUAAAAACAUAAAUUAAAAAUAUAAGAUAAGAAAGUAUUGGUGUCUUAAAUUUUGUAAUAAUUGAAGACCAAGUUAGCUAAUUAGGACAUUUUUACAAGAUUACUUCGAAGAGUUUCUUGAUACUUUGAAUUAAUAUUUUCCAAAAUAGAGUCUAUGCGAUAUCUAAGUAGUCAUAUCUGAUUCACUCCUGAAGAUAGCGAAUUUAUAAUUUGCAUACAAAGACUGCAUAAUACUUGCCAUAUACUUGUUUAUACUUUUAAUUCGCUAUGAUCGUAGUACACCCUGUAUCUUUUCCUCGAUGAAAUAAACUGUGAAUAGGGGAAGGUUUAAUUUAUUCGUGAGGGGAACGGCAUUAGCAACAAUGGACACGUGUGAUAGACUAGCGCGAGAAGCACAUCUGUCCAUUUCUAGAACAGCUGUACCCCGCGCACCAGGAACGGGUGCGUGUGUGGGGCGGCGCAUUUUAAUUGUAAUACUGCACCGCCGAAUUUACACACAUCACUGCACGCACACACACUCUCUCCCAACAAAAAAAAUCCACUCUGCACUUUUUUAUUCGUUUCAAUUCCGAUUAUAAUGCUUGAUUUUAUCAAAAACUGACCCGUUUCGUAAAUGCUGUGAGAGAAAUGACGUCAUUUAGAGAGAAUGCACUUAAUAAACACCGUAAAUUUAAGACUAAGUUGGGAGUAUAACGAACUUUGUAAUUUAACACUGUGUUUCCUGCAUCUUGUAAAUUCCUGCUUUGGAUUAUCUUUGUUUAUACCAGAAUUCCAUAAGAUCCCAUUGAGGGAAAAUAAAAUCAAGCGAUGUUGAUUAAAUUAAUUUGAUUACAAAAAAUUUUGCAAUUUAAAAUUAAACAAUUAGGCGACUCAAAAGUAAUAAGUAUAGGCAACCAAACUAACAUUUGUUGAUGAUCACAAGAAAAUUGAGAUGAGCGAGAAAGUGUCAAAAGUAAAUUCAGGCGCGUAUCGAUUUGUCUACAGACGCUCUACAAUCUUUCUAAGAAGAUUCUCUAGUCAAAGAGAUACCAGAUAAACUCGAGAGAUCCAAAUAAAGUGUUAUGGGAGAUUUUGGCGAAAACCUAAUAACACUGCCUUAAGGUAACCGUUCAAAAUAAAUGAAAUUAACUAAAUAAUUGCAUUCGAACCUCAACUUUUUAUUUCUCAACGAAAUUUGUAGGCAAAACAUCGAAUGUGCGACUAUGUACUAAUCAGCAAAACUUUCUGGCUAUACUCUAGCGAAAGUGUUUUAUCCCAUAUCUCGUGAAACAACAGAACUUGAAUUGCUUUGUGAUUGGGUCGAGUUCCAAAAAUAACAUAAAUUACAUAGAAUUGGGUUGAUCUGCUUUAGAGCUGAAUUAGGUUGCUUUGAAGUUUGUGACUUGUUUAGCAAUUAUUUUGUAAUUAGGUUGCUUUGGAAUUGCAUUAUUUAUUGGUUGUGAUGGCUAAGAUUGACGUACUUUGAAGUUGAGUUACUUUGGAGUUGCAUUGUUUUAGGGAUUUGCUUUGGAGUUGGAUUUCUCCUUGGUUGAGUUGUUUUAUGUUUUCCUUACUUUGCACUUAGCUUGUUCUUGAGUCGCUUUGGGAUUAAACUACUUUGAUUAUUGGUAAAGCUGCUUUGAGGUUGGCUUAUCAUCUUGUAUCAUGUUGGUCUAGAUUCUACUCCGACGUGAGAAAAUAUCUACAUCGUAUUUUCCCAGAUGUGAUCUCCAAGCUGAUAGUAAUAGAUUUUAACAGAUGGCGCCAACCAGAGACAAAGGUCAGUUUUGUUUGUUAGGUAUCGUUUAUGUAUGAGAAGUGUAUGAAGUAAGAUCCCUUACAUGCCAGCUGUCGCCCGGCUAAACUAAACAAAACAAAAAUAUAACCUAAAAUUAAAAAAAAAAUCUUUUUAGGUAUAAACAAUGGAUAAAGAUUCAGCCAAAGCAAGUGGCAGUCGGUCGGAAGCGACUGACAGUAGCCGCAAGGCAAAGAAAAGCGAUGAAAACCAGAUGGGUUCGAGGUGCCGAAAAUGCACCGGAAAAAGAAAUCGACGGCAGAAAAACAUAGACGGAGGAUUGCCGCGCUGAAAGAAACUUUGGCCAAAGGGCUUGCCACGACCAGUGAAGGGCAUCCUCUGCCUCAAUAAAAAAAUAUGAGGGGAGGGCUCCGGCCAGUUCUAAAGGGCAGGCUGGAUCUUCCUUGACUUUAAGGAAAAGCAGACUGCAGACCUCAAAAGGGCAAGCGGCUGCCAAUGAAAAAAAAAACAUGCCGAAAAAAGACCAAGGUCUCCACGGUCACUCCCAGGGAAAAGAAAAAGUCGAAGAAAGUAGAUUACAAAGGAUCCUCCACGAGGCACCUGAAGGUGGCCAUUAUCGACAGGUCCAACCUCAACCUGCUCGGCAAACUCGAUGCUGAAAUGGUAGGACUAGUAGGGCUGAACUAAGUACUAUUUUUGAGAUUGUCGCGAUGUUUGAUGUCUGCCCAAUAUAAUUCCAGACUUCUUUAUGAUUUCUAAAGCCAGACCAGUACAAUUUUAGCGUUUUCUUGUUGGCUGGAGUAUGGCUAAUUUAAUUCUAGAAAAUUUCAUGAUGUUCUAGACUGCCCAGUAUAAUUAAAGACUUCUCUAUGAUGUCUGACAACUCACCUAUACAAUUUUAGAGUUUUUAGCGAUGUCUGAUGUAUGCCCAAUAUAAUUCCAGACUUCUUUAUGAUCUUUAAAGUUUCACCAGUACAAUUUUAGCGGUUUCUUGUUGUCUGGGGUGUGGCUAAUUUAAUUCUAGAACAUUUCAUGAUGUUCUAGACUCUGCCCAGUAUAAUUUCAGACUUCUUUAUGAUUUCUAAAGUCUGACUAGUGCAAUAUUCGAUUUUUCUCAUUGUCUGCAGUCCAGCCAAUUUAAUUCCAGACAAUCUCUUGGUAUUCUAGACUGUUACCAGUACAAUUAAAGACUUCUUUAUGUCUGACGUCUCAUCUGUACAAUUUUAGAGUUUUUCGCGAUGUCUGAUGUCUGCCCAAUAUAAUUCCAGACUUCUUUAUGAUCUCUAAUGCUUGACCAGUACAAUUUUAGCGUUUUCUUGUUGUCUAGAGUAUGGCCAAUUUAAUUCUAUAAAAUCUGAUGAUGUUCUAAACUCUGCCCAGUAUAAUUCUAGACUUCUUUAUGAUGUCUAAAGUCUGAAUAGUACAAUAUUAGAGUUUUCUCGCUGUUUGAGGACUGCCAUAACAAUCUUUGUGAGGCAGCCGGUAGCAAUGAGAUUACGAUCUGCUGGACAAAGGGUCAUUCGGGAAAUAAGCUUCAUGACAUGGUGGACAAACUGGCAAGGAAAGCAGCAGGCGAACCUCCGGGAAUUUUUCAUUGCCCCAACAAUAAGGUCUUUAAUAGAGCUUCAAAAAGAGGAAACACAGGCUGUCCAGGAAGAACCUACGUUUGGUCGUAGGUCUAAUCACUGGACACUGGCAUCUACAGAAGCACUUACUAAACAUGGGAAUAAGUGCCACCGACAUCUGCAGAGGAUGCGGUGAGGAGGAGGAAUCAGCGGAACACAUUUUAUGCGACUGCGUGGCCCUCCAAACAUUAAGGUUAUCCAUUUUUGGAGAUAUCUAGAUUUGCAUGAGUGGAAUCAGGGCAGCACAACCAAGACAAAUUCUAGCCUUUGUCUCCAAGGUAAUAUGGCUGGAAGGACCCUAAUGCUGACCAAAUGAGGGAAGUAAGUACAAAGUAAGUACAGGACAUAUUAAU